GAUGAACGCUGGCGGCGUGCCUAAUACAUGCAAGUCGAGCGAACAGACGAGGAGCUUGCUCCUCUGACGUUAGCGGCGGACGGGUGAGUAACACGUGGAUAACCUACCUAUAAGACCGGGAUAACUUCGGGAAACCGGAGCUAAUACCGGAUAAUAUAUUGAACCGCAUGGUUCAAUAGUGAAAGACGGUUUUGCUGUCACUUAUAGAUGGAUCCGCGCCGCAUUAGCUAGUUGGUAAGGUAACGGCUUACCAAGGCAACGAUGCGUAGCCGACCUGAGAGGGUGAUCGGCCACACUGGAACUGAGCCACGGUCCAGACUCCUACGGGAGGCAGCAGUAGGGAAUCUUCCGCAAUGGGCGAAAGCCUGACGGGGCAACGCCGCGUGAGUGAUGAAGGUCUUCGGAUCGUAAAACUCUGUUAUUAGGGAAGAACAAAUGUGUAAGUAACUAUGCACGUCUUGACGGUACCUAAUCAGAAAGCCACGGCUAACUACGUG
rnacentral:rRNA from 1 species